AAAUUUGGUUGAAUUAAAAAAUCAUCUUGGGUGCAGCCGUAGCCUCAAAAAGAUGCAGAUCUUCGUGAAAACCUAACGGGGAAGACCAUUACGCAAGAGGUCGAGUCAUCUGAGACCAUCGACAAUGUGAAAGCGAAGAUCCAAGACAAGGAAGGGAUCCCACCGUACCAGCAGCGUUUGAUUUUCGCCGGGAAGCAGCUCGAGGACGGCCGCACUCUCGCCGACUACAACAUCCAGAAGGAAUCGACGCUUCAUCUCGUGCUCCAUCUCCGACUCUCCGUGGUGGUGCUAAGAAGAGGAAGAAGAAGACUUACACCAAGCCGAAGAAAAUCAAGCCAAGCGUGACGAGAAAACUGUCAACGCCGCUCGUCAAUCUGGCGCCAAUAUCGAGACCGUCAGAAAAUUCAAUGCUGGAACCAACAAGGCUGCAUCAAGUGACACAUCUCUCAACACCAAAAGGCUUGAUGAUGACACUGAGAACCUUACUCGUAUUUUAUUUUCCCCUCUUGUUAAUGCUCUAUCAACGUGUGCCAACUGAGCUAAUGUCUAAUGAACGUGUGCCAACUGAGCUAACCCAGUAAUCUCCGGGCUUGUUCAUGCUCUUAAGGUGAGUUUUUUUUUUAAUUCACGAUAUGAUUUGGGUGUUAUGAGUCUUAUGACUAUAUGGAUAUUGGGUUUUAGGGAUUGAUUUGAUUAUAAGAGAACUUUGGUUUUUUAGGGAUUGUCUCUGCAUCUUAGUUUGAUUGGUUUGUAAAGUUUUGUGAUUUCUUCCAGUAACUUGGAACUGUUUAUGAGACGUGUAGACUGGGAACCCAUUUGCCACAGAGCCUGGGAAAUCAAAGGGAAACAGGCGCUGGAAGGUUAUCCUCAUCUUGAUAUGUUCUGCUUGAUUGCCCUCAAUCGAUGAAGAUUGAAAGCAAUAACACAUCGCUUCUGGGAUCUCAGCGAUUAUUUUCUGUCUUUGUCGAAUGGGUGGAAUGUGUGAGUAGCUAUCUGAAGUCUUUAUCAAAAGCGUUGAAAGGCCUAAAGCUUGCGUUUUACACAAACCAGAAAGAAGGCUCAGGGAGCCCUUGUAUGGUAGUGUACAUAGUAUGUCCAUUUCCUGAACCUUCAGCAGUUUUAAGGCGAUUGUUGAAUCGUCUAUAGCACUUGGAUCAGUAAUACAGUCAGAUAGAGACAGGAGAUCGAUACUUAACAGUCAUGUUGCAAGGGCGUUUGGUAGUUCUGCUGCUGUUGACGAAACAUCAAUAUCUCACAUUCUGUCAUCCUCCCCUGACAAUGGAUCUUAUAAACCCAGGGAUUUUAUCAUUACACGCAUUGGGAAUUUUUUCGAGCUUGAAUACCUAGGUAAAUUGUUUUCUUUUAU